UGCUGGAGUAGUUGAGCUAUGCAGUCAG
rnacentral:sRNA from 1 species